rnacentral:rRNA from 1 species
GAUGAACGCUAGCGGCAGGCUUAACACAUGCAAGUCGAGGGGUAACAGGAGUAGCUUGCUACUUGCUGACGACCGGCGCACGGGUGCGUAACGCGUAUACAACUUACCCUUCACUGGGGGAUAGCCCGAAGAAAUUCGGAUUAAGACCCCAUAGUAUUAUUGAAUCGCAUGGUUUAAUGAUUAAAGGUUACGGUGAAGGAUGGGUAUGCGUGACAUUAGAUAGUUGGUGAGGUAACGGCUCACCAAGUCAGCGAUGUCUAGGGGUUCUGAGAGGAUGAUCCCCCACACUGGUACUGAGACACGGACCAG